rnacentral:sRNA from 1 species
CAUUCAGCUACACUUCUCAAUGACCAACUGGUUAUAUUUGGAGGCUGGGACUUUCCUUUCUGUUACAAUGAUCUCUUCAUUCUAGAUUUGACUACUGUUGAUUGGUCAUCACCUAAAUGUACUGGUCAGCCUCCCAAGCCUCGUUGUUGGCAUGCAUCUUGUGCUUUAACCAAUGAUAGAAUUUUCAUUCAUGGCGGCUAUGAUGGUGAUAAUGCUCUCUAUGAUGCUUAUAUAUUUCAUCUCGAAAAUAAAAACUGGCAGAGAUUGGCUGUAGAGAAUGCCCCGUCACCAAGAGCCGGCCAUGGCUGCUUUCGCUUGCCCUCAAACUAUGAGUCACAGGAAGAAGAUGAGA